AUGAAGCUUAUGACUACUUGAGACUACAUUUCUCAUCUUCAGUGGCUGUCAAAGGAAAGUGCGUUCAAAUGAAGAACCAAUUUUUCAUGGAUUAUCAAACAGCAAACAGGCUGACAAUGAUUGGCUGCUAAAAGAACAUUUGAGUUAGUCAAUGAAUACAGGGUCUUACUUGGGCAGAAGUUACCAAAUUGUACUAAAUUAUAGUGAGCUGUGGUGGUCUGGAGAUAACAAGAAUCUAUACAAUACACAAAUGCACCACCAAGGUGUGACGUUUCUGAGUUUGUUGGUGUUUAUGCUCUGAAUGAGUUAACAGAUUAGAUCUUCUGAACGUUCUUUCUCUGGGUCUCUCAUACAGAAGUGAGUACAACCAUAUUGUAUCAGUUGUUAUAUUUGCCACAGACCAAAUGAAUAUCCUUUUAACUCUUUACAGGAUGUCUAAAUUGAGAUUAAGAAAGGAUUUUGGUGUUCAUGCAGUUACUGAACGGUCUGGUUGUCAUUUCAUUUGCAAGGGAAAAAAAAAAAGAAAAAAAAUAAUUAGAACUUGGGUAUAAUUUUUAUAUUGGAGUGUGCUGUAACUUCUAACACACCAUAAAAAGGCAAUGGGUAUG
rnacentral:lncRNA from 1 species